rnacentral:lncRNA from 1 species
AACAGUGGCAGGAGGAGGAAAACGAGAGAAGAAAGGAGCCGACACAUCUAAACAAGCAGCCAGGGCACUGUGCAUACAGAUGUAAGGUCUUCUGGGGUCAGCUGGACUCAUAAGGCAGGAGGGACCUCAUCUUUCAGAGAAGGAAUGCCUAGAUUAUCAACAGAACUGUGCCCCAAGACCCAGAGAGACCUCCCUGCCCCAGUGCCUAUUAGAAUGACAAAAGGGGUGGACCCAAGCCCAGAUGACCAGGGCUCUGCCUGGAAGUGCCAGGCCAGGACCCUGGGUCUGUAGAGCCUCUGCCAUUGCAAAGGAUGAGCCAGAUGGAAAAAUUCAGCAUGGAGCUGUAUCCCUGAGCCAAGAGGGCACCCCCUUCCCCGUUGGGGGAGCGAUGGCUUGGGAACAAGCCCCCCGCCCCGUGCUCCAGUGCAUCUAGCUGCCUUUGGCCACCAUCCUGAAACAGCAGGGAGCAGGCUUCCUCUUUCCUCACACCCUGGAACCCAGUGAUUGCUGACCAGGAAGCAGUCCCCAGGCAGCCUGGAUUCUGUCGGCAGGAGAGGGUCUGCCCUGGAAAGGCCUCGGGGCUUCUCUGCAGGUCUCAACCUGGCUCCCCCUUUGAACAGAACCUUCCAAGGCUGCAGGCUUGCAUCCUGCCUCUCAGCCAAGACCUGUCUCCUCAGUCAUCUGAAACCACCCUACCACGCCAGACGCUCCCUCUGCCUUCUUGCUAUUCCAGCUCUCUCUUCUUCCCACUUCCUAUUUUCUCUCCAUUUUGUUCAAACUCCAUGAACAAGAACAACAGAGCUCAGACAGCGAAAGCCUCCCCAUCCCAGCUGUAUGCAAAUUCCCAGCAGGCUGAAAGGACCACCCGCCCACCCAAGACCACCUCCCAGGAAGCCGAGGCCUUGUGUGCAGCCCCAGAGGAGCUUGAGCUGAACGGAGAAUGGGUUGAGGUGGGUGGGACCCAUCACUGUUCUUCCCUUCUCAUUCCUGCGCGUUCCCUGAAGAGUCUCUGGGGCCUGCUUUUCCCCCCAGCAGAGACGGAUGUGUCACAUUUAUGGCAUCCCAUUUCCUUCACAGAGAGGCUAUAGAUCCUGUUUCAUUCUGGUGUAUUUAAUUCACUCCAUAGGAAUCAAUAAAAACUUUAAAUUAAAAAAAAGGCAAAAUCCAAUUGCUUCUCAUUUUCUUGA